UCUGAGUUUGUGAUCGGAGCCGCCAAUACCAUUUUGUCAUCACAAAGGAGCAAAAAUGUUAACUGCCGAAGACAAAGCUAAGAUCGUCGCCGAGUUUGGCCGC
rnacentral:ncRNA from 1 species